rnacentral:rRNA from 1 species
UGGGGAAUAUUGCACAAUGGGCGCAAGCCUGAUGCAGCGACGCCGCGUGAGGGAUGACGGCCUUCGGGUUGUAAACCUCUUUCAGCAGGGACGAAGCGCAAGUGACGGUACCUGCAGAAGAAGGACCGGCCAACUACGUGCCAGCAGCCGCGGUAAUACGUAGGGUCCGAGCGUUGUCCGGAAUUACUGGGCGUAAAGAGCUCGUAGGUGGUUUGUCGCGUUGUUCGUGAAAACUCACAGCUUAACUGUGGGCGUGCGGGCGAUACGGGCAGACUAGAGUACUGCAGGGGAGACUGGAAUUCCUGGUGUAGCGGUGGAAUGCGCAGAUAUCAGGAGGAACACCGGUGGCGAAGGCGGGUCUCUGGGCAGUAACUGACGCUGAGGAGCGAAAGCGUGGGGAGCGAACAGGAUUAGAUACCCUGGUAGUCCACGCCGUAAACGGUGGGUACUAGGUGUGGGUUCCUUCCUUGGGAUCCGUGCCGUAGCUAACGCAUUAAGUACCCCGCCUGGGGAGUACGGCCGCAAGGCUAAAA